rnacentral:rRNA from 1 species
AUGUUGAUUAUUCACAGCUCCUUGCUUGAUUUGCUUGCUGCGGCAGCCACGUUGAGCCCCAUGUACUUCACACACUGCACGCCAGACGACCUUGAUCAUGCCACCGGGGCCAGCUUGCGGAUCUUCUCCGUUAAGACCGCUGGGAUCAAAGGCGACUCAAAGUGGCCUCUCUAUGUGUAUGGCGUGGUCGCUGCCAGGGACAGAGUCGAUUUCAACCGCAACAUUCUCUUCCAUCGAACAAGGAAAAAUGCCCAACAAGUCACGGAAGAUGAUCCUUUUUUGCGCUUGAGUGGCCCAGCUCGGGCGAUUUUGCCUGAGCUUGAGUUUGAAGUCGAGCUAAGGGUUAAGGGCAGAACAAAGUCUCGCGACAGAGCAUUGAUCAAUCAAGCAUAUCCUUACACCCAUUGCUGUGCUCGCCUCUACACCAUUGGCUUUCACAACUGCCGUUGCAGAAUCGAGUUAAGCCUGGAGCAGCUUAAAAAUUCAGUUCAGGCCACUAUCUUGAGUGUCCGCAUCCUUAAGGGCGGCCCGUGCACGUUCAAAUAUGGGGGUCGAGUUGCAUGCUCGUCGCCACCUCAUGAAGUUGUGAUCAUGGAUGGUCAAGGCUCCGUUCUGGAGGUUACUGAUCCCCCAUCAACGCAAGUUGUGUUGCUUGAUUCUCGUGACCGCAAUGGUGGAGAAAUGCCAAUGGAUACUGAUGGUUACCUUGAUCUCACAAGGCAUGUUGUUUCUGUAGAAUUACGACAAAGCAAUGUUUAUUAUCCAGAAACGUUGGAAGAUACCUUCAAAGUUGUCAUACAAGCCUAUUCACAGUCUGGUGAUGUUGCUGCACAAGGUCAUGUCAAGCUCACCCCCAAACUUUGCAACAUAAGUCAAGUUGUAUGUGACCUUGGCGACUCCAAGGUGGAGAUCACCAUUGCUUGGUCGGCCCAUGUUGCAAGUAAGAUGUUCCUUUGA